rnacentral:rRNA from 1 species
UACGUAGGGUGCAAGCGUUGUCCGGAAUUAUUGGGCGUAAAGAGCUCGUAGGCGGUUUGUCGCGUCUGCUGUGAAGACCGGAGGCUCAACCUCCGGCCUGCAGUGGGUACGGGCAGACUAGAGUGCGGUAGGGGAGAUUGGAAUUCCUGGUGUAGCGGUGGAAUGCGCAGAUAUCAGGAGGAACACCGAUGGCGAAGGCAGAUCUCUGGGCCGUAACUGACGCUGAGGAGCGAAAGCAUGGGGAGCGAACAGG